rnacentral:rRNA from 1 species
GGUUAAGUGACUAAGCGUACACGGUGGAUGCCUGGGCAGUCAGAGGCGAUGAAGGACGUACUAACUUGCGAUAAGCGCAGAUAAGGCAGUAAGAGCCGUUUGAGUCUGCGAUUUCCGAAUGGGGAAACCCAACUGCAUAAGCAGUUACUGUUAACUGAAUCCAUAGGUUAACAGAGCAAACCGGGGGAACUGAAACAUCUAAGUACCCCGAGGAGAAGAAAUCAACCGAGAUUCCGGUAGUAGCGGCGAGCGAACCUGGAUUAGCCCUUAAGCACUCGUUGAAGUAGGUGAACAAGCUGGAAAGCUUGGCGAUACAGGGUGAUAGCCCCGUAACCGACGCUUCAUCGAGCGUGAAAUCGAGUAGGGCGGGACACGUGAUAUCCUGUCUGAAUAUGGGGGGACCAUCCUCCAAGGCUAAAUACUCCUGACUGACCGAUAGUGAACCAGUACCGUGAGGGAAAGGCGAAAAGAACCCCUGUGAGGGGAGUGAAAUAGAACCUGAAACCGUGUACGUACAAGCAGUAGGAGCACCUUCGUGGUGUGACUGCGUACCUUUUGUAUAAUGGGUCAGCGACUUAUAUUCAGUGGCAAGGUUAACCGUAUAGGGGAGCCGUAGCGAAAGCGAGUCUUAACUGGGCGUUCAGUCUCUGGAUAUAGACCCGAAACCGGGUGAUCUAGCCAUGGGCAGGUUGAAGGUUGAGUAACAUCAACUGGAGGACCGAACCGACUAAUGUUGAAAAAUUAGCGGAUGACUUGUGGCUAGGGGUGAAAGGCCAAUCAAACUCGGAGAUAGCUGGUUCUCCCCGAAAGCUAUUUAGGUAGCGCCUCGGACGAAUACUACUGGGGGUAGAGCACUGUUAAGGCUAGGGGGUCAUCCCGACUUACCAACCCUUUGCAAACUCCGAAUACCAGUAAGUACUAUCCGGGAGACACACGGCGGGUGCUAACGUCUCGUCGUGGAGAGGGAAACAACCCAGACCGCCAGCUAAGGUCCCAAAGUAUUGCUAAGUGGGAAACGAUGUGGGAAGGCUCAGACAGCUAGGAUGUUGGCUUAGAAGCAGCCAUCAUUUAAAGAAAGCGUAAUAGCUCACUAGUCGAGUCGGCCUGCGCGGAAGAUGUAACGGGGCUAAGCAAUACACCGAAGCUGCGGCAAUAUCUUUUAGAUAUUGGGUAGGGGAGCGUUCUGUAAGCCGUUGAAGGUGAAUCGUAAGGUUUGCUGGAGGUAUCAGAAGUGCGAAUGCUGACAUGAGUAACGACAAGGGGGGUGAAAAACCUCCCCGCCGGAAGACCAAGGGUUCCUGUCCAACGUUAAUCGGGGCAGGGUGAGUCGACCCCUAAGGCGAGGCUGAAAAGCGUAGUCGAUGGGAAACGGGUUAAUAUUCCCGUACUUCUUACAAUUGCGAUGGGGGGACGGAGAAGGCUAGGUGGGCCAGGCGACGGUUGUCCUGGUUCAAGUGCGUAGGCUUAAGAGUUAGGUAAAUCCGGCUCUUUCUAAGGCUGAGACACGACGUCGAGCACCUACGGGUGUGAAGUCAUUGAUGCCAUGCUUCCAGGAAAAGCCUCUAAGCUUCAGAUUGUAAGGAAUCGUACCCCAAACCGACACAGGUGGUCGGGUAGAGAAUACCAAGGCGCUUGAGAGAACUCGGGUGAAGGAACUAGGCAAAAUGGUACCGUAACUUCGGGAGAAGGUACGCUCUUGAUGGUGAAGUCCCUCGCGGAUGGAGCUGACGAGAGUCGCAGAUACCAGGUGGCUGCAACUGUUUAUUAAAAACACAGCACUGUGCAAAAUCGCAAGAUGACGUAUACGGUGUGACGCCUGCCCGGUGCCGGAAGGUUAAUUGAUGGGGUUAGCGCAAGCGAAGCUCUUGAUCGAAGCCCCGGUAAACGGCGGCCGUAACUAUAACGGUCCUAAGGUAGCGAAAUUCCUUGUCGGGUAAGUUCCGACCUGCACGAAUGGCGUAAUGAUGGCCACGCUGUCUCCACCCGAGACUCAGUGAAAUUGAAAUCGCUGUGAAGAUGCAGUGUACCCGCGGCUAGACGGAAAGACCCCGUGAACCUUUACUACAGCUUGGCACUGAACAUUGAACCUACAUGUGUAGGAUAGGUGGGAGGCUAUGAAGACGUGACGCUAGUUGCGUUGGAGCCGUCCUUGAAAUACCACCCUUGUAUGUUUGAUGUUCUAACUUAGACCCGUUAUCCGGGUUGAGGACAGUGCCUGGUGGGUAGUUUGACUGGGGCGGUCUCCUCCCAAAGAGUAACGGAGGAGCACGAAGGUGGGCUAAUCACGGUUGGACAUCGUGAGGUUAGUGCAAUGGCAUAAGCCCGCUUAACUGCGAGAAUGACGGUUCGAGCAGGUGCGAAAGCAGGUCAUAGUGAUCCGGUGGUUCUGUAUGGAAGGGCCAUCGCUCAACGGAUAAAAGGUACUCCGGGGAUAACAGGCUGAUACCGCCCAAGAGUUCAUAUCGACGGCGGUGUUUGGCACCUCGAUGUCGGCUCAUCACAUCCUGGGGCUGAAGUCGGUCCCAAGGGUAUGGCUGUUCGCCAUUUAAAGUGGUACGCGAGCUGGGUUUAGAACGUCGUGAGACAGUUCGGUCCCUAUCUGCCGUGGGCGUUGGAAGAUUGAAGGGGGCUGCUCCUAGUACGAGAGGACCGGAGUGGACGAACCUCUGGUGUUCGGGUUGUGUCGCCAGACGCAUUGCCCGGUAGCUAAGUUCGGAAUCGAUAACCGCUGAAAGCAUCUAAGCGGGAAGCGAGCCCUGAGAUGAGUCUUCCCUGAUACUUUAAGUAUCCUAAAGGGUUGUUCGAGACUAGAACGUUGAUAGGCAGGGUGUGUAAGCGUUGUGAGGCGUUGAGCUAACCUGUACUAAUUGCCCGUGAGGCUUAACCAU